rnacentral:lncRNA from 1 species
UUUCAUCAACGACUAUUUCCAGGUAUAUCUGAAUAUUCAGAGUUUGGGCAUAUAGGCAGUAGCAUGGACAAAGAUGAAGACGAUGAAAAUGCAAACAUAUACUUUUGUGUGUGUGAUAAAAUCAAGUAAAGGAAGUACCAAAGGUAUUAUAUAGUUUUGAUUAAUUAAAUUCAUAGCUUUUCGUACAUAUUUUUUAUUAUUUUUUGUUCAUUAGUUUAUUUUUGGUUAUUAAACAUUUCGUUUUCAGAAAACUGCAGUUUUUUGUGAUGCAUAUAGUGAAUAAUUUACAGUUUGUUGUUUUCAAAAACAAGAUACGUAAACGAUGAUUGUUCUGAUAAAAGAUGUAAAACUUAACACUGUUGGAUAUUGGCUUUGUUUGUAGGAACGACCAGCAAUGAGAUGAGUUUUGAGCAUCGUUGGUAGGUUUGGAGCUCUUGCUUAUCUGGAGAAAGUGUCAUUGAGCACAAAGAAACACGAUGCCACUUUCUAUAUGCUUAAGGAAAACUUCUCCAGACAUUUCUUUAAAGAAUGAGUUAUUUUAUCUUCAGGUUGAAAUCCAAAUUCAAAAGAGAAAUGGAGAGAGCUAUAAUGGAAAGAGUGGAGGAAAAUAAGAG